GUGGAGAGAAAAAUCAGUCUUCAGCCUUUCAGGGAGCUGAAGGAGAAGGGACUCUUUACCAUCAGACACCUGGCUGGGUCCCAUUCAGAGGUCCUGCUUUGCGGACUUGGUGAGGAUUGCUUGGCAGUUACCAGCGAGGUGAGAACAUUGUUCUGAAUUACUUCAUACACAGUGUGUAGAGUAGGUGACCAACCUCCGUUCCAAGGUGUCCUGCUCUGCCAUUGUCACUCUGGGAGAGCUCUUUGUGACCUUGAAGAAGGACAUGGACUCUGAGGUGGAUGAGGUCGCUUGGCUCCUUCUCCAGAUGGUGUCCAACUCCCCAGAAUUUGUUCAGAAAGCAGCCAGUCAGAGCCUGGGGAUCAUGGUGCAGAAUGUGACUCCUGCACGAGCAAUGACUGCUCUCAUGGACAUGGGAGUCAAAGUUCUGCAGAUUUGGGGAUACAUGGGUGAAAAGAGCCUCAGUCCUGCUGCAGGUCUCUGUGGUGUGCAUCUGCCCCUGCUCUCUCCAUUGCCCUUCCUACUCAUGGCAAGGGGGGCCUGAAGCAGCUCCAGAUUGAGGACAAGGGGAAGGCAAUCAUGGCUCAGCCUCACACAGAGAUCUGACUGGUUACAGUCUUACCGAGAAGUUUCCUUGGGACACUUCUCUCACCCACCAAGUCCUUGCCUCCCAUCCAGAAGAGCUCUCUUUCCUCCAAGCUCAGGAAGAAGCUGCCGCCUGUAUGGAGAGUGUUUGAAGAAUAGGAUUGAUGCGUUAGGCUUGAUAAUUACAGAUGUACAUAUGUUCUGAUCUUUAGA